rnacentral:rRNA from 1 species
AAUGAACGUUGGCGGCAUGGAUUAGGCAUGCAAGUCGAGCGAGAAGAGUUUGGUAGCUUGCUAUUGAACUUGGACAGCGGCGAAAGGGAGAGUAACGCGUAGUUAUGUGCCCAGGGGUUCGGAAUAGCCACGGGAAACUGUGGGUAAUGCCGAAUAACAUCUCCGGAUCAAAGGUGUGAUUCCGCCCUUGGAGCAGACUGCGUCCUACUAGCUUGUUGGUGGGGUAAUGGCCUACCAAGGCGACGAUGGGUAGCGGGUGUGAGAGCAUGACCCGUCUCACUGGGACUGAGACACUGCCCAGACACCUACGGGUGGCUGCAGUCGAGAAUCUUCGGCAAUGAGCGAAAGCUUGACCGAGCGAUGCCGCGUGUGGGAUGAAGGCCCUCGGGUUGUAAACCACUGUCGUAGGGGAGGAAGGCUUCGUGAAGAACGGAGUUUGACCUAUCCUAGGAGGAAGUACGGGCUAAGUACGUGCCAGCCGCCGCAGUAACAC